rnacentral:lncRNA from 15 species
AUGUGCGUGCGUGUAUGCUUGUGUCUGCGUACGUGUGCUUAUGCGUGUGUAUGUGUAUGUAUGACACAUCUCCCUGCCUGGCCAAGCUCUUCUUCUUCUCCUCUGGCUAACAACCUCCCAGGAGGAGCCUCCACACUCCCUCUGUCCUCCUCCUGUGCUCCUCCUCCUCCUCCUCCUCGCUGCAGUCUGCUCUCCUCCUCAGAGGAGAGAGCCUUCUCCUCUCCUCUCUUCUCCCUGUGGCAACUCACACCCAGCCUUACAGACAUAUCCUGCUCCUCCCCUCUCUCUCUCUUCCUUCCCUCUCCCCCUUUCUUCGCUCUCACGCUCCUCCCUCUGCCUCCUGCGUCUGGCCCAGAGACUGUGCUGUCAAGGAGGGACUGAAUCAAGCAGUGCCUCCCUGUCUCUAACACACACACACACACACACAUAUACACACACACACACACACACACACACACAUGCACGCUCAUCAGGAUUAGAUCAUCUUUCGUUUUAACUGACUGAAUCCGCACCUGUAGCGAGGAGAUCCCACGGGAGGAGCUAGACUCUUAACAGGCCUAUCAGGGAUGGCCUGUUACUGGGAUCAGUGCUUCUGAUUGGUUGGUUCAGGCGUUAUCUCCCCAUUCUUUGUGAGUGUCUGCUGGAUCGCUAUGCAGAAACAGACUCUCUGGGAGCUACUCACACUCCAACUACACAACAUACUGUGCACACAGCAAUCAGCCUACAUUUACUGACCACAUACACAGUCAUCGCUCACCCUCUCGAACAUGCAUCAACACAUUGAUUUGCCAAAUGUCUCUCCUCGCAGACAGACUCACACAGAGGCCAGAGGACCAGACAUACCGAGGAAUGGACCCUGAGAGAGAAGUGUUGCAAGUCAAACAGAUUCUGUGAUCGAACUGUUCAUUCUCUAUAGCUUUUGUACAAUACCGAUUUAAAAAAAAGAACAAAUUGAAAAAUUGAAUUUUUAUUUUAUAAGUCAAUCAAGCCGCUGGGUUCAGCUCUAUAGGAGUUAACAUGGCUUUAAGGCAUCUGAUCGUUGGUUUGCCAAACUCAUUUUGUAAAUAAUGAUAACAACAACCAUUUUGUCCGCCGGACUUCUGUGCCAUAAAAUAGGAAGGCUUCAGUUAUGCAAACUCUUGACGUUAACCCAAGCAAUACCAACAUAUGUUUCUUUUUCCUGUUUUCCCACCAUGUUUUGUUGCCUUCUGAUAUUGUUUUGUUCUUGUGCAUGGAUGUUGUAGGUCUUUGUCUUAACCUCACUUACUAAUCCUGGGUCCAGCCGCACACCUUGCCCCUAUUUGUCUUUCCAAAUCCCACCACCUCACAUUAUUUUGUCCCAAACAAAUUAGCUUCUGCAGUUUGUGUUACCCAAAGCCUAUGUACACACCACAGCCCUGUGUUUCUGUACCCCAAACCUAUACUCCAACUCUAUGUUGCAGGCAGCAGACACAGUCUUCAUCACUGUAUCCCAGACUGCUCAUCUCCUCCAUCCCAUUUCCCCAGAACAGUCUUUAAGAUACAGUGAUGUUCUGCCCAUCUGUCUGUCUAUUGGUCAGGUGCCAAACUGCUGCUGUCCGAGCGUCUGUGUGUGGACUGCAGCAUCCUCUGCUACAAGUACAUCAACUGUGAUGCCAAUGACUCCCUAUUUUAUGGCCAGAGUCCCCAUGUCACUCUUUUGGACUAUGAUGUUGAUUAACUUAAAAAUUUGACAACUAGAAGAUGAGCAAAGAAGUUGAACAAAAAGGGAAACGUUGCUGUUUGAGUACAUAACAUUUCUAGACCUAUUUUAACUUUACCUCAGCUAACAGUUUCUUAAUGUAAAUUGACACAUUAUUUUUAUCUUUAUGAAUAUGACAUUCUACAGUGGGUUUUUAGAUGAUUUUUUGGUUCUCUCUUGAUUUACGUAUUCCACCAUGUAUUACUGUUACAAAUAAACACAUCCCAAAUGACUGAUAUGUCUAUUUUCUGUCUUGGUUUUAAUCUGUGUGUGUGCGUGAGUGUGAAAGAGAGUGAGCCUAAUGGUGUGUGCCUGGCAGAGGUGACCCCCAGUGAGUCUUUACUUAGUGUAAAGCAAGUGCCACAGUAUUUUGUUGUAAUUUAACACGGCUUUAAUGGUCUGUCACAUUCUGCUACACUGGCAGCCUCUAAUGCAAGCUGUCAUAAGCUUUAUUAGCAACUGACUACAAAACAAGGACUUCAACCUUCCUACUUUGCUGCUCCCCUCCUCCCUGUGGAAAAGGGAAACACAAUAACUUUCAUAUUAUAUAGGAUUAGGGUUGCAGUGGUAUAGCGAUAACAUGGUAGGAAAAUUGAUGGCUGUCAUACUGUGUACAUUUGUUUAUCUAAUUAUCUACUGUAUUACUGUUAUUAAAAAAUAUAGGACAUAAUGUUUUGUGAAAUUAUAAUAAAGCAUUUGUUCAUGUGUUUUCAUUCAUUUAAAGUUCCAGUGUGUAACAUUUAGGAGGAUCUAUUGGCAGAAAUUAAAUACCUGAAAAUCACCUGAAAACAAGAAUUGUGUUAACCUUAGAAUGAGGCUUUUUUUUUGGGGGGGGGGGGGCUUUUAUUUGAUACGACAGCUGAAGACAGACAGGAAAGGGGGGCAGAGAGACAGGGGAUGACACGCAGCAAAGGGCCUCAGGUCGGACUCGAACCCUGGGCCGCUGCAGCAAAUACUCAGCCCCGGCACAUGGGUCGCCAGCUCCACCCGCCGAGCUAACCCGGGCACCCAGAAUGAGGCAUUUAAAGGGUUUACCAAAAUCACACACACACAAACAUGUUCUCACUCACCUAAAGUUUGGCCAUGUAGUAAGUUUCAGUUUUAAAUGGUUUUGAGCUAUUCAUCUGUAUGGUUUUUGCCACCACCCACAUAUUGUUGAGGUGAAUGGCAUUUUGUUCUUACUGCUCAUAGCAUUGAAAAAUUACAUUUGACAGCAGUGUGUCUUUCCAAAAACACUGUCCCAGUUACCGGGUAAUCUACAAUCCUCACUGUCAGCAGUUUGCUUUGGUAUUAUUUCUUCUGUGAAAACUCUCUGAAAGCUGUCAACAGUAAAGUCUGGAUAUGCAUUAUUUUUGGAGUUCACCUUCAUAUAGUGCCAGAAAUUUUAAGCAAAUUGAAUAGAAAACAAUACCUGGAUACAACCAAUGGUACGCAGAAAAGUGUGUUUUUGUAAGGUGUACUGACCUUUUAAGUGCAAGUUUCAUAUAAUAUGUUUAAUAAUGUUUAUUAAUGAACCAAAUAAUCCUCCCAUACAGGUAUAGUAUGUCAGAACUGGCAUGUGGCCUAUAAGUCAUACAAUGAAGAGCAACGACUUCUGUGUGUGUGAUCUGAGCUGAGGCCUUAACACCUGUCAGUACAAGCUCAGUGUAGCAGGACUCGCUACUACUGAGGGUUCUCCCAGCACACAGACCAACCACUGGGAUUAAUGAACAAGACCACUUUAUUCUUUUGUCCGCCGCACACACAAUAAACACACAAUUUAGCCAACUUCCAAAAGUCCAUUCAGGUCUGCUCCUGUUGUGUCUCCUCUGUCACAUGUGUCGGCCUCCAGGUCCAGCACACUACUGCCUUAGAAGAGGUGAGUGUGAGUACUUCAUGAGUACCAGCUGAGAUAAUCCACUCACCUGGUGCUGCUCUCACAAGCCUUCCCCACACCUCUCUCUCUCUCUCUCUCUCUCUCUCUCUCUCUCUCUCUCUCUCUCUCUCUCUCUCUCUCCUGCAGCUGACUGUUAACCACACCCACCUCCACACUGUGGCUUGCAAUUAGACAGAAUAUCCUUAAAUGCCGGUUUAUGAAGGCUGUCUGUUGGAUGUGCUGUGUGUAUAUGCCAUAUUACAAAUGGCUGCUCAAAUACUUUGGUAUUGUGUGUAACAAAACUGGAAUGUUGACCGACCUCUUGUGUUUCCUUUUCCUCUAUGUUUACCUUCACCAUUAAACUUAAGCCCCAGACAACAGACCACGGAUCUGAUGAUAUAUUACCUAGAUACAGCAUCUCCUCACGACAACAGAAACAUACACUGCCACACAGCAGGCACAUGACUUGGUGUGUGAUGAAAUUUUACAGUUUUAAGAAAAACAACUCCAGUUAGGUUUCAUGUCAGUGACUCACAUUUGCGCAGUGCCAACCCGGCGACAUUCCUGAGGGAUAAAAAAAAAAAAUCCAAGAGCUGUUGAGAGUCAGUGUGCUGUGUUAAAUGCUCAACCGGGUACAGACCCGUUUGACGGGACGGACGGUUUUUUAAAGAUGAGUGUGAGUAUUCCUACUCGACCUCAUUCCUACACUGAAACCAUCUCCUGUGCGCCUGGGUCGCACACUUCUCUCGGUCAGAGUGUAGGACAACACACACACUCACACACACUCACACACACACACACACACACACACACACACACACACAGCUGGGACAGGUCGAUAAAAGUGCUGGGACUAUUUCUUAACGGUAUGUUUUCAUCGGCCACAUAAUGAGAGGCUGAAGAAGAAACUCUCUGGAAUUAAUUUACUUAUCCAAGAAGGCUUUUGUCGUUCCGGUGGAUCAUUCAAAACACAAUGGAUCAGGUAUGUUGUUCUCUGAUAUCUUUAAAUCCUCCCGUAGUGUGUCUAACGAUCCUUUAUUAUAUAAUAACGAUAAUAUUGAUUAUUGUGACAUUUAUAUUGUGUCAACCGGUGUAAGUCUGCUUCCUGUCAUAUAUGAAUCUUGAGUGAGCUGUGACUGAGUCAGUGUCUGUACAGUGAAUAGAAUAAUAGUCCAGUAACUACAUUAAUCAUACAAAUUUGAGCCUCCUGUGUCGUGUGUGUGAUUAAGCCUCCAGAUUUAGGCGUAUCACUACAAAUCAGGUCUGCCUACUUUCUCUAUUCAACUCUACAGGGAGACUCAUAGAUACAUAGAUGGCAUAAAAACAAACCACCAUUGUGUAGUGAAUGGGGAUUCAUUAGCAUGGUUUCAUUCUUCAAUUUAAAUAACAAGUGUCAGACAUUUUUGUGAUCUCAGACCACUUAUCUAAGAGUGAACAUAUAAUCUAUGUAUUUG